rnacentral:rRNA from 1 species
UACGUAGGGGGCUAGCGUUGUCCGGAUUAUUGGGCGUAAAGAGCGUGUAGGCGGCCAGGUAGGUCUGCUGUGAAAACUCGAGGCUCAACCUCGAGCUGUCGGCGGAAACCAUCUGGCUAGAGUCCGGAAGAGGUGAGUGGAAUUCCCAGUGUAGAGGUGAAAUUCGAUAGAUAUUGGGAAGAACACCGGUGGCGAAGGCGGCUCACUGGCUCAUUUCUGACGCUCAGGCGCGACAGCGUGGGGAUCAAACAGG